rnacentral:sRNA from 1 species
ACAUUACUAAUUGUAUACCUUCUUAACAUUCUUCUUAUCGCGAUAUCAUAUGUUUUAACAUAA